rnacentral:lncRNA from 1 species
UUGGAGAUUUGGUAUCGGAUGCUGCUCCAAGAACGAGGGGCCAAGGUGCUGAACUAACAGCAGGGGGAGGAUGAUUCUUCAGGUAACAACAUAGCCCGUCGACUAGAGAAUUAAGUUAACUGUUUGCUUUACUUGAAGCUCCAAAUUGUAGUUAUUUUAUUCGUUCACUGAUUUGGUAUAAUCUUAAUCUAGGAGGAUUAUCACUGUAUGAUAUGAGAUACUGAAGUUUAGCAAUGAUAAAAGUCUGAUGUUGAAUGGUUCUUUUCGGAAGUACAGUUGUAAGAUCUAUGAUUCUAGCUUCGACCUUUAACUGGACAGUACUAAUUGGACAUAUAAUUGAUGAUUUAUGCACAGCAAGAUAUUCUGUUGCUUUUAGUUCUUCAAUCAGAUUCAUCUAGCCCUUUGUUGACUUUCUAAUUGUUCCACCCUCUACCUCUAAAACUCAGAAAUCAGAGAAAGGUCAUUGGCAAUUUGGCAUAUCCCUGUCACUGGCGAAGGUUUGCUAGAGAGGAAGAGGACCAAAAUCAUUUUUUCUAUUGUUGGGGGCAUACAUAAUACAUAUAGAUAAAUUUGGACCAUUUAUAACAGAGAUUUCUUGCCAAAAAUAUUAACUCUGUCCAGCAGUGGGCAUUGUCAAGGUAAUAAAAGGAAUUUGCUGAACCUAAUUGAAUGAAAGAGGGAUGGCUAAUCCGAUUGAGAACCUUCUGUAACUGAAUAGACUUACGAACGAUAACAAUAGUAAAUAGUUCCAAUUAACAGGCGUUGUUUGAUUAAAAUACUAAUUUAAGAAUUUGGCGAAUCUAUAAUUCUCUACAUAAUCAGUUAGUGUAUUUUUGAUCACCGGGUUAUCCUAGACCACUUGGGGACAGUAUCAUCAAUUUCUUGCAUACUGCAAUGCAAGUUUUAAAAGCCAGUUUCUUAUGUUUCCUAUUAUCUUUAUGUUCACCUAACUGCCAAGAAUCAUAAAGGAUGCACCUAAGGAGGUAGAUUUUGUUUUAUGCAUUUUUUUAAGUGUACAGAUGCUGCAACUGAUUAACAAAACAUUGUUCAACCUUCUAUGAGUCUGCCUAGGGAGCUGCACAGAUUUGGAACAACUUCCAGAACAUGCACCAAGCAUUUUGGUCAGGUACCACUAAGCUGCCAGAGCAAGAUAGCUGGGAUGUCAAGUCCCUAGGGCAAUGGUAAAUCUCAAAUUGCCUGAUGUUCGAUGGGAAGCAUCAGACAAUACCAAUGUCCAGUAGUAAGAUCUGAUUGUGCAGGUGGUCAAGCCAAGAUAAGUGUGCGUGCAUCACCGUUUAGUCAAGAUUUAGAAAAAGAUGAUGUCUGCUAUGAUAGUUUCCAGAAUAGUUUGGCCCUUGAGACACUUCCACUGUAUGCAUGUGUGUUCCUUUUUUUCCAAAGAUAUGCAUGUCUAUUGAUUAUUAUUGGAAUUGGUUCAACAAACAGUGCAUAUGUGACAAAAUUACUAAAAUAUACUGACCGAGCCUGAUAAUAUGACUAAUCCAUACAGUGGAUAUGCGCCAAUGCUCAAAUUUUAAAAAUGAAGGAUUCAACUUUUUUGGAUUAUUAUUAUUUGUGAACUCGCGAGUAUGCCUAGCAAUCGUAAAAAAAUAUAUAGUUCGACUUAGUGGUAGGUUCUGCAGUAGUCUUGCCUUGAAGGUUCCGUUCAUAGUAAAAAUUGAUAUGUCUUUAUGAAGUAAUCUGAGCAUUUUGUUGGUUGCAGGUCAACUUUGUUCUCCAAUAUAGGUGGUGUAUGUUUGUGCAAAAUGAUUAUGAAAGGACUUCUGGUAACUUUAUCUUUUGUCAAGGUUGUUUACUUGGUGGAGCAAACUUCCAUUUCCUCUGAACAGGUGAACAUGACAUGUGUGAUGGCUGUUAGCCC